rnacentral:rRNA from 1 species
CAUGCAUGUUUCCGCAAUCAGGGACGAAUAGCUCAGUAAAACUGCGAUGAUUUAGUCUGGCUGUGUAGAUAACUACGUGAAAAUGUAGCUAAGGGAAGGCAGAAUAAGACGCAGGACUAUCAGUUAGUUGGUAGUGUAAUGGACUACCAAGACAGUGACGGUUGACGGGAAAUUAGGGUUUUGUACCGGAGAGGGAGCCUGAGAGAUUGCUCCCACGUCCAAGGACGGCAGCAGGCGCGAAAAUUGCCCACUCUUUGCAGGAGGCAGUUAUGAGACGUGAAGAUGAGUAUCUUGUAAAGAGGGAUAGGAGAAUUGGAGGGCAAGUUUGGUGCCAGCAGCCGCGGUAAUACCGACUCCAAGAGUGUGUAUGAGAGAUGCUGCAGUUAAAAAGUCCGUAGUCAUAGAAGGGCAAAGAGAGAUGCGAGGUCUCACAGUGCGAUGAUGGAGGAGCCGAUGGGGAACAUAGUAUACCAGGGCGAGAGAUGAAAUGCCAAGACCCCUGGUGGACUGAGCGAGGCGAAGGCGAUGUUCUUGUAGGCAUUCGGU